rnacentral:rRNA from 1 species
UAGUGGCGAACGGGUGAGUAACACGUGGGUAAUCUGCCCUGCACUCUGGGAUAAGCCUUGGAAACGAGGUCUAAUACCGGAUAUCACAACGCUUCGCAUGGAGUGUUGUUGAAAGUUCUGGCGGUGCAGGAUGAACCCGCGGCCUAUCAGCUUGUUGGUGGGGUAGUGGCCUACCAAGGCGACGACGGGUAGCCGGCCUGAGAGGGUGACCGGCCACACUGGGACUGAGACACGGCCCAGACUCCUACGGGAGGCAGCAGUGGGGAAUAUUGCACAAUGGGCGAAAGCCUGAUGCAGCGACGCCGCGUGAGGGAUGACGGCCUUCGGGUUGUAAACCUCUUUCGCCAGGGACGAAGCGCAAGUGACGGUACCUGGAUAAGAAGCACCGGCUAACUACGUGCCAGCAGCCGCGGUAAUACGUAGGGUGCAAGCGUUGUCCGGAUUUAUUGGGCGUAAAGAGCUCGUAGGCGGUUUGUC